GAGAACUCGGAGGAAGCUCACAUUCACAACUCGGCCCUCAGAGAGCUCUGAUGUAGCAUCUUCAGAAAGACCGAAUGCUUCAAUUUCCUGAUUCAAAACUGGACUCGCGAUGUUGAGCAGCCUGCAGGAGUAAGGGUCCUCCCUGUCUCCCACCGGCACUUCACAGCCGUGGGUUUUCCAUAUCUGGGUGUGUUUGCCUCCCCCUUUCUGAAUACCAUCACCAUCCCCGCCAGUGACUCUCCCUGAGUGACCUUCCUGCACCUCCAUCUCUAGUCUGCCAUGGUCAGGAGUGUAAACACCAUUUCAUUAGAGGAAGAAAAAGUGAAAAAGACUGAAAUUCUCUGCAACUAUAAUUGAGAGAGACAUCCAGAGAGAUCCAUGGCCA
rnacentral:lncRNA from 1 species